rnacentral:rRNA from 1 species
GCCCUGGCAGUCAGAGGCGAUGAAGGACGUGCUAAUCUGCGAUAAGCGUCGGUAAGGUGAUAUGAACCGUUAUAACCGGCGAUUUCCGAAUGGGGAAACCCAGUGUGAUUCGUCACACUAUCAUUAACUGAAUCCAUAGGUUAAUGAGGCGAACCGGGGGAACUGAAACAUCUAAGUACCCCGAGGAAAAGAAAUCAACCGAGAUUCCCCCAGUAGCGGCGAGCGAACGGGGAGGAGCCCAGAGCCUGAAUCAGUGUGUGUGUUAGUGGAAGCGUCUGGAAAGGCGCGCGAUACAGGGUGACAGCCCCGUACACAAAAAUGCACAUGCUGUGAGCUCGAUGAGUAGGGCGGGACACGUGGUAUCCUGUCUGAAUAUGGGGGGACCAUCCUCCAAGGCUAAAUACUCCUGACUGACCGAUAGUGAACCAGUACCGUGAGGGAAAGGCGAAAAGAACCCCGGCGAGGGGAGUGAAAAAGAACCUGAAACCGUGUACGUACAAGCAGUGGGAGCACAGAGCAAUCUGUGUGACUGCGUACCUUUUGUAUAAUGGGUCAGCGACUUAUAUUCUGUAGCAAGGUUAACCGAAUAGGGGAGCCGAAGGGAAACCGAGUCUUAACUGGGCGUUAAGUUGCAGGGUAUAGACCCGAAACCCGGUGAUCUAGCCAUGGGCAGGUUGAAGGUUGGGUAACACUAACUGGAGGACCGAACCGACUAAUGUUGAAAAAUUAGCGGAUGACUUGUGGCUGGGGGUGAAAGGCCAAUCAAACCGGGAGAUAGCUGGUUCUCCCCGAAAGCUAUUUAGGUAGCGCCUCGUGAAUUCAUCUCCGGGGGUAGAGCACUGUUUCGGCAAGGGGGUCAUCCCGACUUACCAACCCGAUGCAAACUGCGAAUACCGGAGAAUGUUAUCACGGGAGACACACGGCGGGUGCUAACGUCCGUCGUGAAGAGGGAAACAACCCAGACCGCCAGCUAAGGUCCCAAAGUCAUGGUUAAGUGGGAAACGAUGUGGGAAGGCCCAGACAGCCAGGAUGUUGGCUUAGAAGCAGCCAUCAUUUAAAGAAAGCGUAAUAGCUCACUGGUCGAGUCGGCCUGCGCGGAAGAUGUAACGGGGCUAAACCAUGCACCGAAGCUGCGGCAGCGACGCUUAUGCGUUGUUGGGUAGGGGAGCGUUCUGUAAGCCUGCGAAGGUGUGCUGUGAGGCAUGCUGGAGGUAUCAGAAGUGCGAAUGCUGACAUAAGUAACGAUAAAGCGGGUGAAAAGCCCGCUCGCCGGAAGACCAAGGGUUCCUGUCCAACGUUAAUCGGGGCAGGGUGAGUCGACCCCUAAGGCGAGGCCGAAAGGCGUAGUCGAUGGGAAACAGGUUAAUAUUCCUGUACUUGGUGUUACUGCGAAGGGGGGACGGAGAAGGCUAUGUUGGCCGGGCGACGGUUGUCCCGGUUUAAGCGUGUAGGCUGGUUUUCCAGGCAAAUCCGGAAAAUCAAGGCUGAGGCGUGAUGACGAGGCACUACGGUGCUGAAGCAACAAAUGCCAUGCUUCCAGGAAAAGCCUCUAAGCAUCAGGUAACAUCAAAUCGUACCCCAAACCGACACAGGUGGUCAGGUAGAGAAUACCAAGGCGCUUGAGAGAACUCGGGUGAAGGAACUAGGCAAAAUGGUGCCGUAACUUCGGGAGAAGGCACGCUGAUAUGUAGGUGAAGCGACUUGCUCGUGGAGCUGAAAUCAGUCGAAGAUACCAGCUGGCUGCAACUGUUUAUUAAAAACACAGCACUGUGCAAACACGAAAGUGGACGUAUACGGUGUGACGCCUGCCCGGUGCCGGAAGGUUAAUUGAUGGGGUCAGCGCAAGCGAAGCUCUUGAUCGAAGCCCCGGUAAACGGCGGCCGUAACUAUAACGGUCCUAAGGUAGCGAAAUUCCUUGUCGGGUAAGUUCCGACCUGCACGAAUGGCGUAAUGAUGGCCAGGCUGUCUCCACCCGAGACUCAGUGAAAUUGAACUCGCUGUGAAGAUGCAGUGUACCCGCGGCAAGACGGAAAGACCCCGUGAACCUUUACUAUAGCUUGACACUGAACAUUGAGCCUUGAUGUGUAGGAUAGGUGGGAGGCUUUGAAGUGUGGACGCCAGUCUGCAUGGAGCCGACCUUGAAAUACCACCCUUUAAUGUUUGAUGUUCUAACGUUGACCCGUAAUCCGGGUUGCGGACAGUGUCUGGUGGGUAGUUUGACUGGGGCGGUCUCCUCCUAAAGAGUAACGGAGGAGCACGAAGGUUGGCUAAUCCUGGUCGGACAUCAGGAGGUUAGUGCAAUGGCAUAAGCCAGCUUGACUGCGAGCGUGACGGCGCGAGCAGGUGCGAAAGCAGGUCAUAGUGAUCCGGUGGUUCUGAAUGGAAGGGCCAUCGCUCAACGGAUAAAAGGUACUCCGGGGAUAACAGGCUGAUACCGCCCAAGAGUUCAUAUCGACGGCGGUGUUUGGCACCUCGAUGUCGGCUCAUCACAUCCUGGGGCUGAAGUAGGUCCCAAGGGUAUGGCUGUUCGCCAUUUAAAGUGGUACGCGAGCUGGGUUUAGAACGUCGUGAGACAGUUCGGUCCCUAUCUGCCGUGGGCGCUGGAGAACUGAGGGGGGCUGCUCCUAGUACGAGAGGACCGGAGUGGACGCAUCACUGGUGUUCGGGUUGUCAUGCCAAUGGCACUGCCCGGUAGCUAAAUGCGGAAGAGAUAAGUGCUGAAAGCAUCUAAGCACGAAACUUGCCCCGAGAUGAGUUCUCCCUGACUCCUUGAGAGUCCUGAAGGAACGUUGAAGACGACGACGUUGAU